rnacentral:lncRNA from 1 species
UAAAGAAGUGUUGCCAAUCGUGAGUUUAGACAUAGGUCCAUCGUAAUCGGAUAAAAUGCGCAAAAUACCGUAUGACCUCAGUGUGUGCUCCAUUGCAACAGCUGAUAUCAAAGUCUGACACAGGAGGAGCCCAGUUCCUAACCUUCCUUUUAGAGUAUUUUUCUUCCGAUGUUGUGACGAGACUACGUGAUAGAUGUAAGGUGAUAUGCGUUAAUAACUGCACUACUUUUAUUAUUAUUGCAAGUGACAGUGAUCAAUUUCCAUUCAGAACGAUUGUUUCAUUUUAAGAGAAAUUCGAGUCAAACCGGUUAGUGGAAACAAAACUAUGUUGAGAGUGCUAUUGCGUGAUUAGACGUCGAAUCUGCCGUCUGUUGAUAAUUUUCAUAGUCCUCCCUCCGCCUCCCCCUUUGGGUUUGAGCUUUGACUUAUAAGCUGUAAACUAGAAUCCUAAUUGUGUUAUCCGAACUGCUCGUCGGCAGGAUAUUUUUCACCGGCCACGCACCGCGCACCGUCACCAAAAACAUUAGCGUAGGUCAAGAACUCGCUGCAACAGCGCAAAGAACCGCGCACUAAACACAUUUAAUGAGCCGCACAUUCUCCGCCCACCUUAAACGCUCGUUUGUUAUUCGAGGCAAUUCAUUGAAACGAUGAGCACGGUUAACUACGAUCUAGAACGUAUGGAGCCCUCGUCGAACUACGCAGAGUUGCUCGAAACUUUCAAGCACGCAAAAUGUCCCGUCGUUCGAAAAAUACAAGGCCAAAUCCGUAAAGCAGAGCGCCGGAAUCAGGUUUACACCAACAUUCUCCUGGCUUAUUCGCAGCCAAAUAAACACAGAGGAGACAGACAGAAACGGACACGAGGAUUCUUGCGACCGGACCAAGAAAGCAUCUUCGGAGCAUCUUCGGAGCAGGCUAUGUGGCCGCGGGCCUCCGAAUGUAAGCGGUGUACAGCUUGAUUUUCGGGAAGGAUGACUUGAUCCGAGGAUUCCAGACGAUCCGGCAACAGGAGCUUCCUGGGUCCUGACCCCGAUUUCGAUCCCCUCGUCCUGUGGUUUGAGUGUUUGCCGUGUUAUUGUUACUGUUUCUCCCAAAAAGAACGGGUUUCGAUAAGUUCGUCUGACAUCAGGUAAACAGCUUUGCCUAAUAAAUCUAACCGCUUUCCUCCUGCUCCCAUUGUCAGCUCUAACAACUUAACUCCUAUUCCCCAUCCGAAAAUCCUUUUAAAACCCCCCGCCCGGGUGAUUGUCCAGGACCCCCCUCCCCCUUCCCCCUCCACCGAGAUGGCCAUCUACGUCCCCUUCCGACACGGAGCCUUGAGUCGGGGACAGUUACGUUUCCGGGCCUUGUUCUGUCCUUUUUACAAUAUUAUACCAUUGGUCGUUGUCAAAUUGUAAGACUCUGAGCUUCUUAAAGCCAAGAUUUUGACUCCUUUAGCAUCCCUCCACUGAAAAAAAAUUAUAGUGAC